GCCGGAGUGGUGAAAUAGGCAGACGCGCCGGACUCAAAAUCCGGUGACCCUUGCGGUCGUGUGGGUUCGAUUCCCACCUCCGGCACCA
rnacentral:tRNA from 1 species